ACUAGUAACCAGCAGGCAGUCUAGUGGUUAGAACAUUGGACUAGUAACCAGCAGGGUAGCCUAGUGGUUAGAGCAUUGGGCCAGUAACCAGCAGGUUACCUAGUGGUUAGAGUGUUGGACUAGUUACCAGCAGGUAGCCUAGUGGUUAGAGUGUUGGACUAGUUACCAGCAGGUAGCCUAGUGGUUAGAGUGUUGGACUAGUUACCAGCAGGUAGCCUAGUGGUUAGAGUGUUGGACUAGUUACCAGCAGGUAGCCUAGUGGUUAGAGCAUUGGGCCAGUAACCAGCAGGUAACCUAGUGGUUAGAACAUUGGACUAGUAACCAGCAGGCAGUCUAGUGGUUAUAGUGUUGGACUAGUUACCAGCAGGUAGCCUAGUGGUUAGAACAUUGGACUAGUAACCAGCAGGUAGUCUAGUGGUUAGAACAUUGGACUAGUAACCAGCAGGGUAGCCUAGUGGUUAGAGCACUGGGCCAGUAACCAGCAGGUUACCUAGUGGUUAGAGUGUUGGACUAGUUACCAGCAGGUAGCCUAGUGGUUAGAGUGUUGGACUAGUAACCAGCAGGUAGCCUAGUGGUUGGAACAUUGUACUAGUAACCAGCAGGUAGCCUAGUGGUUAGAACAUUGGACUAGUAACCAGCAGGUAGUCUAGUGGUUAGAUUGUUGGACUAGUUACCAGCAGGUAGCCUAGUGGUUAGAGUGUUGGACUAGUUACCAGCAGGUAGCCUAGUGGUUAGAGUGUUGGACUAGUUACCAGCAGGCAGUCUAGUGGUUAUAGUGUUGGACUAGUUACCAGCAGGUAGCCUAGUGGUUAGAACAUUGGACUAGUAACCAGCAGGUAGUCUAGUUGUUAGAGUGUUGGACUAGUAACCAGAAGGUAGCCUAGUUGUUAGAGCGUUGGACCAGUAACCAGCAGGUAGCCUCGUGGUUAGAGUGUUGGACUAGUAACCAGCAGGCAGCCUAGUGGUUAGAGUGUUGGACUAGUAACCAGCAGGUAGUCUAGUGGUUAGAGUGUCGGACUAGUAACCAGCAGGUAGCCUAGUGAUUAGAACAUUGGACUAGUAACCGAAAGGUUGCUGGAUCGAAUCGCCGAGCUGACAAGGUAAAAAUCUGUUGUUCUGCCCCUCUGAACAAGGCAGUUCACCCACUGUUCCCUGGUAGGCCGUCAUUAUGAAUAAGAAUUUGUCCUUAACUGAAUUGCCUAGUUAAAUAAAUGUUUUAAAAAAUCAGAGAUGAACAUACAUAGUUAUUACCAUAGACUCUCUCCAUAGUCUCUUUUUAUAGGUGGCAGAAGUUCAUCCUGUAGGUAUCACAAUUAACCAAAUCUUUCAUUCUUACCCUGAUACCUCAUACAUCUUAACAGCUACCAUAGUGCUAUUAUUAAGGGGGAAUCAAUCCUCUAGGGUAAUCAAAUAUCUAGGGUGCAUACCGUGUCCCAGACCUUCACUAGUCAAUACACCGCGGACCACAACGAGCCAUAAGUCGGAAAGCAAAUUGUUGUUUGUGUUUUAUGUAAAUUCUAGUCAUCUCAAUGUGCGUGGUGAUAAGAUACUCUAGUCCUCUGCAAAUAGAACGUCGGAUAAGAAGCUUCCUUCCUCCCAGGAAUGUGCCCCUUGUCACCUCCAUGUUUUUAAUACCCAGACAGGAAGUGAUAUUCCUGUAUUUCUUUGCCACCUGGUCUCAGGGGAACAGCCCGGCCCGCUUCCAAACCAGGAGUAAUUGAUAUGUUCUGUCUGCUUUGUCCUGUACCAACAUUCAUGGUAAUGUGCUGUAUAUUGCAGUAUGUUCCUCCAUUUUACGACACAAGGAGCCGUCACCAAGUUCCCAAACACAACAUGUGAUAUAAAAAAUGGACUGGCUCAACUUUUUACUCUUGUCUCUUUUUGUUGUUUUUUUAAAUAAAAAAAUAUUUAAAAAAAUAAAAGUUUUCCUCAUA